rnacentral:lncRNA from 1 species
AUUAUCAGCUGUUGAGCACCUUGUCACAGAAGUCGGCACAUGGAAAUCACAAUGGAAAGGUGGAUUUUGCAUACAUUUUGAGGUAAAUACGUUGUAAAUUGUAACUCUUUAUCACCGGUACCCAUUUCUUCUUAUUGAAUUUGUUGAAGUGAAUCAAAACAUUUAUAAUUCGUCAUUUAUUUCGAUAACCGACGACGAAAACCGUUUGACCUAUGAAUCAAUCAAUGAAUCAAUAAAGUUAGCUAAAUGGAAACAAUGCUCGGAGAAAGAUUGUUUUAAUAUUAGUUUUAUUAGACUUGAUUUUUCCCAAGCUAACUGUUACAUAAUAAUUACAACCCCCCCCCCCCCCCUUAAUUCCCCCUUGGUUUAGUGUAUGCAAUAAAUUAAAACUAUUCAUUUUUACUUUGGUAGUAAAUUAAGGGGUGCACCCCUAUAUUAUCAUACCCAGUCUACCUAUCCUUAAGCUUAGUCAUUUUUGUUUUAUACUUUUAUACACCACCUACGCAAAUGAACAGUGUUGGUGUUUUUUACAUUUUAAACAGAGAAUGACAUUGUUUCAAUUCAGAAUUAUUUUUUUUCAUUGUGAUUUAAGCAUAAAUUUUAUUAAAAUAAAACAUGGAUUUGUUUCACAAAUAGUAUUUAUAUAUCCAUUGUCAUUUCUAAGUUUAUAAAAAAUACCAGAAUUUAUAAAUGCAUGUUCAAACAAAUAAAAUGUACUAUUAUUAAAGUUAUAUUUCAGUUAUCAGGCUACUGAGAUUUUACAAAAUGAGAGAAUUUGCUCAUCUCAGUUAAUAUAUUAUCCAAUUUAAUUUUUAGUAAUAGACAUGAAAAUUUUAAAUUGAUCACCACUUUCAUUCAAUUGACAUAAAGACUAUUGAUUACUUGUAGGAUUUGCUAAUCCAAAUAAGUGACUUUAAAAGUUGUCAAUCUACAUUGAUGUAAAUAUUUCAAUAUCAUACAGAUUAAAUACCUAACAGUUUUUUUUAAGUAUCUCCUUUAUUGCCUAUUUCCUACAUGUUUAACAAAAAACUUUUGGUGUGUUUAUUGCUUUAAAGUUUUGACCAUGCAAUUUUAUAUUUGUCUUUUGCAGAAUUUGUAUUCACUGGUUUUUUUUACUGCUUCCAAGUGAGUUGACAUGUAGGAAGUCUGCAUUUUGAUGUAAGCAUUCAAAUAUUAUAUUAUUGUUACUGACACUUUAAUAUUUUUUAGUCACAUGAAGUGAUAUGAAAGCUAUUUUAAGAUUAAUUGCUUAUGAGUUUAGAUUACUCUGUCUAUUAUAUUUAUGUGAACAUUAAGAAAGUAAACAAGCAUGGCAAUUAUUUUAUUACAAACAUGUAAGUUUACUAUUAGUUUAACCAACCACUGCUGAUACUAAGGGCUAUAGCUAUUAAGCUUACUAAAAUUUGAUUAUAUUGAAGUUCUCUUUUUGUAUCAGAAUAAGAAUAUAAAUAAGAUAAUUGUUAUGUUCAAAAUAUUAAUAACAGGGCACAUUAAGAGCAUAUUAUUAUAUAAAUCAAGUUCAAUGAUUGAAGUAAUAGAUAUUAUGCAUAUAUAUAGCAAUGGGGCUUAUAAAUUAAUUAUAUUGUGUAUAAUAAUAAUUAAUAUCAUUUUUUUGCAGGAUUUUAAGAUGAAUGAGAAACAAUGGCUACUUCCAAUACAAUAGCACAAUUGAUAAAAUGAAUAAGACACAAGGACUGCACUUUUCAUUCUAAGGAAGAUCAACAAAUGAUACCCAAACAAGGAUAUUAUUUUCAUAUCAGAUUCCUGUACAUGAGAUAUAAAGAGAAAAUUCAUUUUCCUGAAAAGACAACUCUUUACUUAUACAUAGUGUGACAAAAUUAAUGGAAUCAAGACUGUUUUAACUGUGCUAAAAGGAAUACAAAUUAGAAGUUAAUUGACUGUAUUAAAAAAAAGUGAGAAAAAAAAUUUACUGUAUGAAAAAGCAGGUUCAGCAAAAGGAAAUAUGUUGAAAUGAAUGAAUAACUAACUGCAAUGAUUCUGGAACAUGUGUUAGUUCAUGAUCAAACAAAGGAAAAAUUUAUAAGAAAGUGGAAUACAUAUGUGAUAUUGUGUCCUAAUUAUGAUCACUGAGGAGAGG